GUAGGUGGCAAGCGUUGUCCGGAAUUAUUGGGGCGUAAAGCGCGCGCAGGCGGUUCUUUAAGUCUGAUGUGAAAGCCCACGGGCUCAACCGUGGAGGGUCAUUGGAAACUGGAGAACUUGAGUACAGAAGAGGAAAGCGGAAUUCCACGUGUAGCGGUGAAAUGCGUAGAGAUGUGGAGGAACACCAGUGGCGAAGGCGGCUUUCUGGUCUGUAACUGACGCUGAGGCGCGAAAGCGUGGGGAGCAAACAGGAUUAGAUACCCUGGUAGUCCACGCCGUAAACGAUGAGUGCUAAGUGUUAGGGAGUUUCCGCCCCUUAGUGCUGCAGCUAACGCAUUAAGCACUCCGCCUGGGGAGUACGGCCGCAAGGCUG
rnacentral:rRNA from 1 species